GAGUAAAGAUUUCGGUCGCUUUGGGAGGAGCUCGCUUACUAUCAGCUUGUUGGUAGGGUAAUGGCCUACCAAGGCUAUGACGGUUAGGGGGUGUGAGAGCAUGACCCCCAGCAUUGGCACUGAAACACUGGCCAAACACCUACGGGUGGCUGCAGUCGAGAAUCUUCCACAAUGGGGGAAACCCUGAUGGAGCGAUGCUGCGUGCGGGAUGAAGGCCUUCGGGUUGUAAACCGCUUUUGUAGGGGACGAAAUUUUUGACGGUACCCUUUCGAAUAAGAGGUUGCUAACUCUGUGCCAGCAGCAGCGGUAAUACAGAGACCUCAAGCGUUAUCCGGAUUUACUGGGCGUAAAGCGUCUGUAGGGGGUUUAUUAAGUUCCAAGUAAAAUUUCAAGGCUCAACUUUGAAUUCGCUUGGAAAACUAAUAAACUGGAGUCUAGCAGAGGUGCAUGGAACUUGUGGUGUAGGAGUGAAAUCCGUUGAUAUCACAAGGAACACCAAAGGCGAAGGCAUUGCACUGGGCUAGCACUGACCCUGAGAGACGAAAGCGUGGGGAGCAAAACGGAUUAGAUACCCGUGUAGUCCACGCCCUAAACGAUGAAUGCUAAAUGUUCGGGGAUUCGACCCCCUGGGUGUUACAGCUAACGCGUUAAGCAUUCCGCCUGGGAAGUACGGCCGCAAGGCUAAAACUCAAAGGAAUAGACGGGGAUCCGCACAAGCGGUGGAGCGUCUGGUUUAAUUCGACAGUAAGCGUGGUACCUCACCAGGGUUUGACAUCCCUUGACAGCCUUGGAAACAAGGUUUCCUUCGGGCAAGGUGACAGGUGCUGCAUGGUCGUCGUCAGUUCGUGCCGUGAGGUGUUCCGUUAAGUCGGGAAACGAACGAAACCCCUAUUGCAUGUUACAAUUUCUCAUGCAAGACUGCCCGGAUAUACUGGGAGGAAGGUGGGGAUGACGUCAGAUCUGCAUGGUCCUUAUACCCUGGGCGACACAGGCGCUACAAUGGCAGAGACAAAGGGUUGCAAAACCGCAAGGUGAAGCUAAUCCCAAAAACUUUGUCUAAGUUCGGAUUGAAGGCUGCAAUUCGCCUUCAUGAAGCUGGAAUCGCUAGUAAUCGUGAAUCAGCCACGUCACGGUGAAUAUGAUCCCGGAUCUUGUACCCACCGCCCGUCACACCAAGAGAGUUGGUAGCUCC
rnacentral:rRNA from 1 species